rnacentral:rRNA from 1 species
UUUGUUUUUUAAUUAAAAACUAGAAUGAAAGAUUUAACAUUUUAAUUUCUUUAUUAAAUUUUUAUUAUAAAUUUAUAUUAAAUAUAAAAAUAUAUUUAUAAAUAAAAAAGACGACAAGACCCUAUUAAAUUUUACUUAAUGUUUAGCUGGGGCAGCUUUUUAAAUAAAACUUUAAAUAAUAAUAAUAAUAUAUAUAUAAUUUUAAAAUCUAAUAUAAUUAAAUUAUUAACUAAUUACUAUAGGGAUAACAGCGUUAUAUUUUUUUCAAGUUCAUAUUUAAAAAAUUUAUUGCGACCUCGAUGUUGAAUUAUAUUUCUUUAUUAAUGUAACAAUUAUAAAAGUAGGUCUGUUCGACCUUUAAAAUAUUACAUGAUCU